rnacentral:misc_RNA from 1 species
GAAAUGCGAUAAGUAAUGUGAAUUGCAGAAUUCAGUGAAUCAUCGAAUCUUUGAACGCACAUUGCGCCCGCCAGUAUUCUGGCGGGCAUGCCUGGCCGAGCGUCAUUUCAACCAUCAAGCCCCCGGGCUUGUGUUGGGGACCUGCGGCUGCCCGCAGGCCCUGAAAACCAGUGGCGGGCUCGCUGUCACACCGAGCGUAGUAGCAAUCACCUCGCUCAGGGCGUGCUGCGGGUUCCGGCCGUUAAACAGCCUUACAAAACCCAAGGUUGACCUCGGAUCAGGUAGGAAGACCCGCUGAACUUAAGC